rnacentral:rRNA from 1 species
GAUGAACGCUGGCGGCGCGCCUAACACAUGCAAGUCGAACGAUUAAAGCACCUUCGGGUGUGUAUAAAGUGGCGAACGGCUGAGUAACACGUGGGCAACCUGCCCCUUUCAUUGGGAUAGCCACGGGAAACCGUGGAUAAUACCGAAUACUUCGAGACUUCCGCAUGGAAGACUCGAGAAAGCUCCGGCGGAGAGGGAUUGGCCCGCGGCCUGUUAGCUUGUUGGUGGGGUAACGGCCUACCAAGGCAAUGAUGGGUAGCUGGGUUGAGAGACCGACCAGCCAGAUUGGGACUGAGACACGGCCCAGACUCGUACGGGAGGCAGCAGGGGGGAAUCUUGCACAAUGGGCGAAAGCCUGAUGCAGCGACGCCGCGUGCGGGAUGAAGGCCUUCGGGUUGUAAACCGCUUUCAGCAGGGACGAGGCGAAAGUGACGGUACCUGCAGAAGAAGCCCCGGCUAACUACGUG